GACGAACCGUGCGAACGUUGUUCGGAUUCACUGGGCUUAAAGGGCGCGUAGGCGGCCAAGUAAGUCCUGUGUGAAAUCCCUCGGCUCAACCGAGGAACUGCCUCGGAAACUGCAUGGCUUGAGGCCGGGAGAGGGUAGCGGAAUUCCCAGUGUAGCGGUGAAAUGCGUAGAUAUUGGGAGGAACACCGGUGGCGAAGGCGGCUGCCUGGACCGGUUCUGACGCUGAUGCGCGAAAGCGUGGGGAGCAAACAGG
rnacentral:rRNA from 1 species